rnacentral:rRNA from 1 species
CGACUCGGGGAGGUAGUGACGAAAAAUAACAAUUCAAGACUCUUAACGAGGCCUUGAAGUUGGAAUGAGUACACUUUAAAACUUUUAACGAGUAACUAUUGGAGGGCAAGUCUGGUGCCAGCAGCCGCGGUAAUUCCAGCUCCAAUAGCGUAUACUAAAGUUGUUGCGGUUAAAAAGCUCGUAGUUGGAUCUUGGAAUGUGUUCAAGCGGGUCAGCUUCUGGCUGUUCGCUGCUUGACGUGUUCUUCUAUUUGGUUUUGGUGCGGUGCGCUUAACUGUGUGUCGCUCCCGGCCGAAACGUUUACCUUGAAAAAAUUAGAGUGUUCAAAGCAGACCUGUUUGAGUCUGAAUAUUCGUGCAUGGAAUAAUGAAAUAUGAAUUCGGUUCUAUUUUGUUGGUUUUCGGAUCUCGAGUUAAUGAUCAAGAGGGACAGACGGGGGCAUUCGUACUCUGCCGUUAGAGGUGAAAUUCUUGGAUCGGCGGAAGACGCGCAACUGCGGAAGCAUUUGCCAAGAAUGUUUUCAUUAAUCAAGAACGAAAGUUAGAGGUUCGAAGGCGAUCAGAUACCGCCCUAGUUCUAACCAUAAACGAUGCCAACCAGCGAUCCGCCGAAGUUACUCCCAUGACUCGGCGGGCAGCUUCCGGGAAACCAAAGUCUUUGGGUUCCGGGGGAAGUAUGGUUGCAAAGCUGAAACUUAAAGGAAUUGACGGAAGGGCACCACCAGGAGUGGAGCCUG